rnacentral:lncRNA from 1 species
GAUAGAGUCUGGUGGGGAUUAAAUCUGAGAACAAGGACAAGCAUCAAAUACAGUUCUCUGACAUAUAAUAGGCAUGUGGUAAUCAACACCAGGAGCUACUCCAAGUCAUAAGCGGCUUCCAUGGUGCUGCAGAGGCUGCCUCCAGAAAGCACAGAACCAGAAAAUAACUCCAUUGGUGGAGCAAAUGUCGAGACACUGAAAUUUCUGAUCACCAAUUACAAUGCGUGGAGGAGUUUUUCCCCAUCACAUCACCAAGCCAUGCUCAGGACACCAGGCCCAGCCACAGCACCGCAAACCUACCCAUACCUCCUGUUCCAAACACUCAGGCUCUUCAGCCCCUGAGUGAAUGCUGAGCCAGCCCAGCCCAGAUUUUGCAGCCUGCCACAUCUACUGGUUUUUGAAUCUUAGUUCCCACAUCGACACCGAAGUCUUUGGAAAAAAAGCCAUGAACUGGGGCCAUCGGGGACUACCCUGCCGGCCCUGGAAAUACCAGAAGUUAAGGUAAGUGUCUCUUAGGGUUUUAGAGAUGCAAGUUUAUCAAAGGAAAUCCUGCUUCUUGCUGUGGGGAGUCAUGCAGGGAAACCUCUUGCCCAAGAAGUGACUCAGUCAGGAAAUGUCAAUAAUUUCAAGAGUUGUAGAUACAUUCUCAGAUGAUAGGCUCACCCGGAUCCAUGAGGCAAUAUUUGAAGGCUAGGGAGAGUCCUAAUCUUUAAGAGGAGGACCGCUCUGCAAACUGUUGUCGAUGCACAAGGAGAUUAGUACAGAAACUGACCGUAAGCUUCUAGAAAAUUUUAUAGUAAAUGAUACAGCUGUGAUGUCAAAGUACACGAUCAUUUCCCCAGGAAUGCAUUUUUAUCAUAUUUUAUAAAAAUAUGGGUUCAUAGCAGAGGUUUUAAAAAUCGGGUCUUUAUCACGGACAAGUUGAGAAGCACAGGUACAGAGAGCUACGAGACCCACCUCUCAGAGGUUGACCCCUGUCAGAAGGAGCACAAAGGUGAUUUGUCCUCUGUGUCUGGGGUGGAGAGGGGUAGGAAGAGUUAGCAAGGAUCCUUCUAGUUUUAUAAUCCAAACCUUAAGAGUUUACUUGGCUGGAGGCCAGCUUCGGAUUCAUGGCAAACUGAUUCUUGGCAAGUGGCAGCCCUCAUUACGUCCCUUUUAUUUCAGCAGGGAGAAAAAAGCAAAAGCACCCUUCUAUAGGGUGUUUGGGAAGGAGGCACCAGCCAUUGUUACUACUAUUUACUGAGUGGCGGAGCCAGCAUUGGAAUCCCACCUGCCUCUGGGCCUUUGCACAUGUUGUUCCUCCUGCCUGGCCUUCCUCAGCUAUCUACCAUCACAGUGAUAGCUGUUUCACUUCCUUCAAGUGACGCUCAUGUAUUUAUCCCUCCAGGUGCCUGUCCUGCUUCUCCCCUCCACUCAUUCAAGUUCUUUAUUGCUCCCUACGCUUCCUUUUCAUGGCAAUACUAACAGAACUAACUGUGCAAUCAAUUGUUUACUUUUGUGAGUUUAAUUGUGAGUUUCCCGGGGGCAAAGACGAAAUCUCUCCUCCUCAUUCUGCCAUCCUCAUUGCCUAGUACGGUUUGACACACAGUAGGUGUUUCACACGUAUAUAGAGCAAAGGAAAGAGUGAAUAAAUAAACAAAUGAAUGGAUGGAUAGAUAACA